CACAAAGGAGGGACGAGUAGAGAAGGUCUGAUCAGUCGAAAAACUAAAAAGAUACCCGAAACAGCUGCAAUUUUUUCUGAUGGACAAUUUGGAGGCUUAUCAAAAGUCGGGUCUCCGAUUAGCUAUGUGGCUAAAGUGGCUCAGACCCGCUGAGCUCCCAUGCAAGGAGAAAAGCCUGCAGGCGAUAUCUCGGAAAUCUGACAAAAUGAAACAGAAGGAAGCUUUUACGCAGAUGGAAGCUAUUAUACUGUAAUAAUAAACCAUGGGAGGAAAACCACGGGAGAGACGAGAUGACAGAGAUGGAGAAGGGGAAAUCUUCGGAGGGAUCACGGGCCAGCACACGUGUCGAUCGGGCCCGCGGAUCAGCGCCUGUGCUCAUUUCCAUCACCUUGACGGCUGAGACCUACAUCGCACCACCGGGGACGAAAUGCAGAACGUGGCCUCCUCUCCAAAAUGUAUGCAAUCCCUUUUCCCAGAGAUGUGAGAUCUUUGAUUCUUUGAUUCGUCGUGCAGAUGUUUCACGCCUCCAGGCCCGAUGUUGAAGGAUGAACACAUCAUCUUUAACACAACAAAAUCUCUUCUCCCACUAUUUUGCUCCCCGAUGGCGUGUGCAAUUUUGUUUUGGUUCUUCUCGGUUCAGCGCUGCGGUCAGGCUCUGACAGUAGCCCCGUCCCUCGCCCCGUGUGCCCUCAGUCACAGUGUGUUUAACAUCUGCCCCGUGGGCCUGUACCUCUCACGGCCUUUCAGCACCCGUCGCUGCUCGCUCAAAGUCCCAGCGCCGCGGUGCUCUGCAGUCGCGCCUAAAAACCGCCCUUAUUAGCCGCGGCUCGAGCGCCGUCAUCGUCGGUGUCACGAUCAAACAGAGGCCAGUGCCUCGACGCUGGAAUCUGUCAACGAUCAAGGGGAGCGACGGACGAAAUGUCACACUGUGGCUGCGGGACAUAUCUCGAAAAGACAUCCAGCACCUGCAGGAAAGAAAAGAGGUUCCUUGCCCUUCCUCAUGUGUCACCAGUCUGAUUGUCUUCCCAGAUUCCUGGUUGUGUCCACCUAUUCCCACACUUCCCUCGUGUGUACUUAUAGUCUGCGUCUCCCCUUGUCCUGCGCCAGUGGGUCAUGUCCUUUCGUCUUGGCACACAUCAUUUUGUAUUGCCCAGCUCUAUUAGUUUAGCCAGAGCAUUUCCCCGUCCAUCCCUCUCCGGAGGGGUUUUUGGUUUCCCG
ensembl:lncRNA